rnacentral:rRNA from 1 species
CGUGUAGGCGGUCUGAUUAGUCUGAUGUGAAAGCCCUGGGCUCAACCCAGGAAGUGCAUUGGAUACUGUCAGACUUGAAUACGGGAGAGGGUAGUGGAAUUCCUAGUGUAGGAGUGAAAUCCGUAGAUAUUAGGAGGAACACCGGUGGCGAAGGCGGCUACCUGGACCGAUAUUGACGCUGAGACGCGAAAGCGUGGGUAGCAAACAGGAUUAGAUACCCUGGUAGUCCACGCCGUAAACGAUGAGUACUAGGUGUUGCGGGUAUUGACCCCUGCAGUGCCGCAGCUAACGCAUUAAGUACUCCGCCUGGGAAGUACGGUCGCAAGACUAGA